rnacentral:lncRNA from 1 species
GUGACGACCCCAAAUCUAGGUACUUGAAACCCGAACUCGGUUCCCCACGAUACCAUUUCUUUAAGCUAAAUAAUACUAAAUAAUAAUACAUUCGAACUUAAUUUACAUACAUCAAAUUUUACUUCCCCAGGUACGUGACCUUCAAAUAAAUUCCUUACAAUACAUGAAUAGAUACCAAUACAACUAUAACCAUUAACUCAUAAUACACACUUAUUCGAUCAGCUUUCCUUUUCCUUUGUUCGUGCCUGAGCCUUCAGGUUGCUCAUACAUAACUGAAAACAUUUAAUUUAAGCAAGGAUGAGCAUUUAAGUGCCCAGCAAGUAAUAGCAAUUAUAUAUAAGCUGAAAGAAUAUAAGUAUUCUCUUUACAUAACACUUCUACAACGAAUUGAAAGUUGUGAAGUAAUCUGUACUGAUAAAAAAUUCACAUAACAACUCUCUUUCAAAUUCUUUAAAUUUGGCUCUGGCUCUACCCUUGAAUAGGGUUUAAGAAACAUACUAUGAACAUUCUUUUCAUUUUCGAAA